GACGAACGCUGGCGGCGUGCUUAACACAUGCAAGUCGAACGGAAAGGCCCUGCUUUUGUGGGGUGCUCGAGUGGCGAACGGGUGAGUAACACGUGAGUAACCUGCCCUUGACUUUGGGAUAACUUCAGGAAACUGAGGCUAAUACCGGAUAGGAGCUCCUGCUGCAUGGUGGGGGUUGGAAAGUUUCGGCGGUUGGGGAUGGACUCGCGGCUUAUCAGCUUGUUGGUGGGGUAGUAGCUUACCAAGGCUUUGACGGGUAGCCGGCCUGAGAGGGUGACCGGCCACAUUGGGACUGAGAUACGGCCCAGACUCCUACGGGAGGCAGCAGUGGGGAAUAUUGCACAAUGGGCGGAAGCCUGAUGCAGCAACGCCGCGUGCGGGAUGACGGCCUUCGGGUUGUAAACCGCUUUCGCCUGUGACGAAGCGUGAGUGACGGUAAUGGGUAAAGAAGCACCGGCUAACUACGUG
rnacentral:rRNA from 1 species